CAACAGUCCCCCUUCCUUGUUUGAUUACAUGUAAGUGCAUUCAACAGAUAUGAGCUAAGCACUUACUGUAUUCCCUUGUUCCAGAACAAGGGAAUACAUAAAUGAAAGAACUCUAGACUUUAAAGAGCUUAAAUUUUGAAAAGAACGGAUUUUGACACAUAUAUAAACAAGCGUGGCAGAUUAUCCUAAGUGUUUUAUUAAAAGUGUGCAGCCACUGACUAUCAAGUUUCCAAUGAGAUCUGAAUGAGGGAGGGAGCAGGGAGGGAGUGUUCAUCUCAAGCUGAAUGCUGAAAAGUGAAUAGAUAUUUGCUAAACAAUGCGUAACAACACUGUGAAUAAGCAGAAGAGUUGGAGCUCAGGUUUUGAGUAGACCAGAAGAGAAUUGGACAAUGAAGAAGGUAUAUGGAGAGAGAGAGAGAGAGAGAGGAAAGUGUUGAUUCGUCAUUUUUCACAUGCGAAGUUUAAGGAAAAUUGGAAUAAGAUCUGUUACCUUGUCUUAAGUCACUACAGCCAAUUCAGGGAACAAAGAGAAGAAAAUAAACUUUUAAAGAAUUCUCAGGUUCAUUUACAAAGAAACAACUUUUUAUUCCUCCAUGAGCAAUGUGAUUUAGGUCAUAUUGUAAGUUCUUCUUCGUGUUUUUAGCAGAUUUCCUGUAUCUAUGAUUAUUAGUUGACUCAUAAGUAAUUUCCUCCAAGAUUUUAAAAAGUCAGGUAACUGCUCUUUUGCUGCUGGAAGAAUAGCAGCUUACAGUGAUACAGAAAAUGCAAUUCAAUAGCUAAGUUUGAAACAUGAGAUGAGAAACGUGAGCAGAACAUGAGUGUGUGUAGGUGAUUAAUGCCUUGGGCUUCUCUACAGACCUGAAGUCUCUCGGUACACAAAUUACCAUAGGAGACCACCUGUGCCACACUUCCUCACAUUCUCAUGUUGCUAGGAUCUCUCUCUCUCUCUCUCUCUCUCUCUCUCUCUCUCUCUCUCUCUCCAGGCCCUUGUUCUCCAGUGCUGUGCUCUCCUAGUGAUUGACAGUCUGUUUCUUCCCUCACACCUUGUGUUCCUCUCUCUGCCUUUGGCUCCUGCCGUCCCGCUGGUGAUGCAGACAACCCUCUGGGUUCUUGAAUCUUCCUGCUUAGCUCUAAGAAAUACAAACAAAGCCAGAUGUUGUAACUGUGAACUUUCUGUUUAGACACAGUUUGUCAGUUUUUGUGAAAGCACUUUCUGUCAAAAGUCUGUCAUAGGAUUUCAUAAGAAAGAAGAAAAUGUUUAAAAAUGCAAAAUGUGGGCUUGAAUAAUUGAAGGCAGACUCAAAGGAAGGACCUCAAAUGACCAUAGUAAUGAGACGACUAUAAUAAUAACAUAAUGUAUUUGCUUCUCUUGUUGUCACUUUAGGAAAUUGCAGCUUACAGCGAUUAAGUUAAGUGGCCUCAUGUAUGCAUUCAUAAAAGAGUAGAAUCAAGAUUUGAUUCCUUCUGGAACAUCAAGCCUAUGUCCUUUCCUCUACAAAGUCAGUGCUACAACAUGGUGGCAGAUUUUCUAGACUGUUAAAGGUCGGCAUUUCUUGGCCAUCUAGAAAACAUAUUCAGGAAAAAAACCCCAAAACCUUAAAUGUGAAAAAUC
rnacentral:lncRNA from 1 species